AACGAACGCUGGCGGCAUGCCUAACACAUGCAAGUCGAACGAAGGCUUCGGCCUUAGUGGCGCACGGGUGCGUAACGCGUGGGAAUCUGCCCUUGGGCUCGGAAUAACAGUGAGAAAUUACUGCUAAUACCGGAUGAUGUCGAAAGACCAAAGAUUUAUCGCCCAGGGAUGAGCCCGCGUAGGAUUAGCUAGUUGGUGAGGUAAAGGCUCACCAAGGCGACGAUCCUUAGCUGGUCUGAGAGGAUGAUCAGCCACACUGGGACUGAGACACGGCCCAGACUCCUACGGGAGGCAGCAGUGGGGAAUAUUGGACAAUGGGCGAAAGCCUGAUCCAGCAAUGCCGCGUGAGUGAUGAAGGCCUUAGGGUUGUAAAGCUCUUUUACCCGGGAUGAUAAUGACAGUACCGGGAGAAUAAGCCCCGGCUAACUCCGUGCCAGCAGCCGCCGUAACAC
rnacentral:rRNA from 1 species